AACGAACGCUGGCGGCAGGCCUAACACAUGCAAGUCGAGCGAGGACUUCGUUCCUUUCGGCGGUCGUGUGGUUACCGCGUGGUAACGUGCCCUUUGCUUCCCUAUCGCCCUGUGAAACUUGGAUUCAUACCAGUUGAGCCCUUUCCGGGUAAGAUUUCUCGGCGCAGGAUCGGCCCGCGUUGGAUUAGGUAGUUGGUGGGGUAAUGGCCUACCAAGCCGUCGAUCCAUAGCUGGUUUGUGAGGAUGAUCAGCCACACUGGGACUGAGACACGGCCCAGACUCCUACGGGAGGGAGCAGUGGGGAAUCUUAGACAAUGGGGGAAACCCUGAUCUAGCCAUGCCGCGUGAGCGAUGAAGGCCUUAGGGUUGUAAAGCUCUUUCAGCUGGGAAGAUAAUGACGGUACCAGCAGAAGAAGCCCCGGCUAACUCCGUG
rnacentral:rRNA from 1 species